UACGUAGGGUGCGAGCGUUAAUCGGAAUUACUGGGCGUAAAGCGUGCGCAGGCGGCCUCGCAAGUCGAGUGUGAAAGCCCCGGGCUCAACCUGGGAAUUGCGAUGAAGACUGCAAGGCUUGAAUCUGGCAGAGGGGGGUAGAAUUCCACGUGUAGCAGUGAAAUGCGUAGAGAUGUGGAGGAACACCGAUGGCGAAGGCAGCCCCCUGGGUCAAGAUUGACGCUCAUGCACGAAAGCGUGGGGAGCAAACAGG
rnacentral:rRNA from 1 species